rnacentral:ncRNA from 1 species
GCUUAAUUUGACUCAACACGGGGAAACUUACCAGGUCCAGACAUAGCAAGGAUUGACAGACUGAGAGCUCNAAACUUACCAGGUCCAGACAUAGCAAGGAUUGACAGACUGAGAGCUCUUUCUUGAUUCUAUGGGUGGUGGGGGCGUUAACAUCUCCAUAGAGCUCCCGCA